rnacentral:tRNA from 1 species
GCGACCGUAGCUCAGCUGGUUAGAGCGCCCGCCUGUCACGUGGGAGGUCGCCGGUUCAAGUCCGGUCGGUCGCG